CUAAGGCUCCAGAGGAAGCCACGGCUAACUCUGUGCCAGCAGCCGCGGUAAUACAGAGGCGGCAAGCGUUGUUCGGAAUUAUUGGGCGUAAAGAGCACGUAGGCGGCCUUGCAAGUCAGUUGUGAAAGCCUUCCGCUUAACGGAAGAAUGCCAGCUGAUACUACAGGGCUUGUGUACGGGAGGGGAGAGUGGAACUUCUGGUGGAGCGGUGAAAUGCGUAGAUAUCAGAAGGAACGCCGGCGGCGAAAGCGACUCUCUGGCCCGAAACUGACGCUGAGUGUGCGAAAGCUAGGGGAGCAAACGGGAUUAGAUACCCCGGUAGUCCUAGCCGUAAA
rnacentral:rRNA from 1 species